rnacentral:rRNA from 1 species
UAAAGAAAGCGUAAUAGCUCACUGGUCGAGUCGUCCUGCGCGGAAGAUGUAACGGGGCUAAACCAUGCACCGAAGCUGCGGCAGCGACACUGUGUGUUGUUGGGUAGGGGAGCGUUCUGUAAGCCUGUGAAGGUGGCCUGUGAGGGUUGCUGGAGGUAUCAGAAGUGCGAAUGCUGACAUAAGUAAAGAUAAAGCGGGUGAAAAGCCCGCUCGCCGGAAGACCAA